AAAUGUUAGGAAAGUCCAUGCUAGCACAGUCUGUGAUGACUGUAGUGUUUGUGAUAGCUUAAUAAAUAAGGCUAUGCACCUCCGGGUGACGGCGAGAUGAUACCUAAGUCUUUGAUAUGGUAAAGUCUUAUAAAGUGCCACAGUGACGAAUCAUUUAGAAAUAAAUGGGUGAAACGUUGGUAAACCCCUCAAGCUAGAAACCCAAAUUUGGUAGGGGAGUCAGGAAAGAAGAAUCAGAAUUUGAUCCUGGAAGAGAAAUCUUAGAUAAAUAGUUACCACCUUUUAGGUACAGAACAUGGCUUAUAA
rnacentral:RNase_P_RNA from 1 species